GUUCAAUUCGAUGCAACGCGAAAAACCUUACCUGCGCUUGACAUGCCAGGAACCCCGAAGAGAUUUGGGGGUGCCCGAAAGGGAGCCUGGACACAGGUGCUGCAUGGCUGUCGUCAGCUCGUGUCGUGAGAUGUKGGGUUAAGUCCCGCAACGAGCGCAACCCUUAUCCUUAGUUGCUACGCAAGGGCACUCUAAGGAGACUGCCGGUGACAAACCGGAGGAAGGUGGGGAUGACGUCAAGUCCUCAUGGCCCUUAUGCGCAGGGCUUCACACGUCAUACAAUGGUCGGUACAGAGGGUCGCCAACCCGCGAGGGGGAGCUAAUCCCAUAAAGCCAGUCGUAGUCCGGAUCGCAGUCUGCAACUCGACUGCGUGAAGUCGGAAUCGCUAGUAAUCGCGGAUCAGAAUGUCGCGGUGAAUACGUUCCCGGGUCUUGUACACACCGCCCGUCACACCAUGGGAGCGGGUUCUGCCAGAAGUAGUUAGCCUAACCGCAAGGAGGGCGAUUACCACGGCAGGUUCGUGACU
rnacentral:rRNA from 1 species